UACGGGGGGGGCAAGCGUUGUUCGGAAUUACUGGGCGUAAAGGGCGCGUAGGCUGCGGGGCAAGUCGGGUGUGAAAUCUCAGAGCUCAACUCUGAAACUGCACUCGAUACUGCUUUGCUUGAGGACUGGAGAGGAGAUUGGAAUUCACGGUGUAGCAGUGAAAUGCGUAGAUAUCGUGAGGAAGACCAGUGGCGAAGGCGGAUCUCUGGACAGUUCCUGACGCUGAGGCGCGAAGGCCAGGGGAGCAAACGGG
rnacentral:rRNA from 1 species